GUGGGGAAUUUUGGACAAUGGGGGCAACCCUGAUCCAGCCAUCCCGCGUGUGCGAUGAAUGCCUUCGGGUUGUAAAGCACUUUUGGCAGGGAAGAAAAGGUUCUGGUUAAUACCUGGAGCCGCUGACGGUACCUGCAGAAUAAGCACCGGCUAACUACGUGCCAGCAGCCGCGGUAAUACGUAGGGUGCAAGCGUUAAUCGGAAUUACUGGGCGUAAAGCGUGCGCAGGCGGUUCGGAAAGAAAGAUGUGAAAUCCCAGGGCUUAACCUUGGAAUGGCAUUUUUAACUACCGGGCUAGAGUAUGUCAGAGGGGGGUAGAAUUCCACGUGUAGCAGUGAAAUGCGUAGAGAUGUGGAGGAAUACCGAUGGCGAAGGCAGCCCCCUGGGAUAAUACUGACGCUCAUGCACGAAAGCGUGGGGAGCAAACAGGAUUAGAAACCCUUGUAGUCC
rnacentral:rRNA from 1 species